rnacentral:lncRNA from 1 species
CGCGCCCGGGCCGAGUUCGAGAGCCGCUGGUGCUUCCCAGGCCGUCGCGCUCCUGGCCGCGCACCCAGCCAGGGACCCAGAGGCCCUCAGCCCCGGGCUCUGCGCGUACACUGAGGGCGCGGCGCAGCAGGACAGCAAGAUAAGGAAGCAGAGACUGAAGGGAGGAAUCCCCGCUUUCCGGGGAUGAUGGCGUUCGAGUUGGGUCUGUGAGGGAUGAAAUAGGAGUUGGCCAGAGGGAGAGAGGGACUCUAGGCCUCGAGAAGAGCACGUGCAGAGGUUCCGUGACACGAAAACGCCAGGUGGGUGCGGGGCUGGGAGGACAGGAGGCAGAAGGGUUUACGGCUCCACAUGGUCGCCGAAAUUUUAGGUCCCUGAGAGUAAAGGGGUGCAGCUGAUUUCAUCUAGAAAGCCCCUGGCCGGGAGGAGAGAACGAGCUUGCUUGCCUGGGGUUGCAAAGGAGUGGGUAGCUGAGACGGCCAGCACCCCAGCAUCCUGACUCAGGGCCAGACGCUUCACCCCAUUGGGCGGCGUCUGGAGGAGCAGACACAUCUCUUGUGGGUACCCUCGAAAGUGAAUCAUGGGUCGCAGGGAACUGUGGUCAAACCGUCUCUAGCUAGAUGCUAGAGAGCCAGCUCUGCAGGCUCAGGCUACUGUGAGACACGAAAGGAGGGACUCGCUGGGCACAGCCUCACCCUGGGGCAUGCCAGCAGGCCCUGCCCUCUGAGUGUUGGCAGACUUGAACAUCCCUAGGGAACGAGAGAAGUUGGGCAACGAUGGGAGAGCAGUGCAGGCCCUGGAGGUGACGAGUCUGUUGAGAUUCUGAUGGGGAUGGGUCAGAGGACGUAGAAAGCAGUGAAGGCCUAGACGCCCCCAGGUCAGUGUAGCCUGCUCUGCUUCCAGUGAGCUGGGCUCAGUCCCCCACAUGUCAUUGUCUUAGACGCCCAUGGCCUUUGCACAGGCCGAGCCUGAUGUUUGGAACAUCGUCGCCUCUAGGGGGCCUGGCUCCUAAUCAUGCAUCACCUCCUCCAGGAGAACUUUCCUGCCCCUACACUGAGUUCAAGCUUCUCAGACACCAGCCCCAGUUGAGUUCGAGUUAUAACCGUCACCAGUUAUCACACCAUCCUGUAAUCUGUGCGGUGCCCCUUAGGGCAGGACCUGGGUCCUAGAUGUCUCUGUACCUCUAGCCCCAAACCAGGCCUGACCUGUCUCUUGAAGGAGUAUUUGUGUUGAAGAUGGGUGGUAACGUUCAGCAAAAGCCAUGCCCAGGAGACAGGCACAGUACCCAUGGAGACCCAGGGCCAGCUGAUGACAGUGAUGAAUUCCCUUUAGAACUGGCGGACUCUUGGGUGCUUGGAGACACUAUAUAAAUAAGGAACUCUGGCUGUGUGCAUGGGAGAGUAUAUUAACAGGGCUUGGCCUGGCUGUGAGGUGCAGAGAUGCCGUUUCUCUCAGGUAAGGAGCCAUAUUGGGGCAGGGGUUUCCUAAUCCUUUUUUGACUCACAAAAUACACCUAGGAAAUGUUAAAUAAAUAGUCAUUUUUGAGUAGUAUAUGAUAAAGAAGUGAUUGAUUUUGACUAAAAAUAUUCAUGUUCUAUUUUUAGAAUAUGAAAGAUUGUAUUAUAAAGAUCACUUGAAAUAA